CUGCAGUCAAGCUGACUGGGCACCUUUGCUGGGGGUGCCCAAUGUACACUGGCUGCAGAUAGCAACUUCCUUGGUAGUAUACUCAGUUUGUUGCUUGUAUGGGCUGUCCCAAGGGACCUUGGAUACACUG
ensembl:snoRNA SNORA70 Small nucleolar RNA SNORA70